GCAAUUUGUAUCUUUCCAUAUCAGUUUCAUCUUCAUCAAAGGGACAGAGAUUUUACUGUCUAUCAACGAAAUAUGUUUCUCUCUGGAUCUGAUCUGGUUUCGAAACUUUCUCCAAAUUAGCAUAACACCCGCAUUUUAUGAUGCAACGUUUGAUUAGCUAACUAAUUCUCUGUGUCACGCUUUCAUCUGAUUUGUUUCUUCAAUCAUUUAACCCAGUAAAAAACUAAUUAAGUGGUACAACUGAGUUGACUAAACGGUACAAGUUGAGAACCUCAAUACCCACAACAAGCCUAAGCCAACAAAUUCCUAGGAAAUCUGGUUAGAGACCCGCGGACUACCCACAGUGCUGGAUGGUAUGCACAUAUUUAUGUUCUUAUUAUGCAAAAGUCGGUAAAGGCUGGAAAGAGGCUUACAAAACCUAGACAACCAUCAAGUUUCGGGCACGCCUUCCACUUCCACAUCCACUCGGUUCGUGGAGUCAUCUCCUCCACUUAACUGGAAAUAAAGUUCAUCUUGACGCACUUCAGCAGAACUCUUAUUUUGAGAGAGGGAAAAGAUUUCCACUACGAUUCGGAUCUCAGCACGCAACUCCUGGCCAUGUCACAAUUUUUGUUGUCACUUCAGCGGGGAUAAACUAGAGCGAUAAGAAUCGAUCGAUUAAUUAUCGUUAAACGCUGCCAUAUCGUCGAUAUCUGGUUAUUAUAUUUUCGAUCGGAGGGGAGGAGAGGGGCUGGUGUUCAUUAGCAUGUGCUUGUAUGACUGUA